GACGAACGCUGGCGGCGUGCCUAACACAUGCAAGUCGUGCGAGAACGUCCCCUUCGGGGGACUAGUACAGCGGCGAACGGGUGAGUAACACGUGAGUGAUCUGCCCGAGGAUGGGGGAUAACCCGGGGAAACCCGGGCUAAUACCGCAUGAUGCGGCGGGAGUAGAGUCCCGUCGUGAAAGCUGGCCUCUCCAUGGAAGCUAGCGUCUUCGGAUGAGCUCGCGGCCUAUCAGCUUGUUGGUGAGGUAACGGCUCACCAAGGCUAUGACGGGUAGCUGGCGUGAGAGCGCGAUCAGCCACAUUGGGACUGAGACACGGCCCAGACUCCUACGGGAGGCAGCAGUGGGGAAUCUUGCGCAAUGGGCGAAAGCCUGACGCAGCGACGCCGCGUGGGGGAGGAAGGCCCCAGGGUUGUAAACCCCUGUCAGGUGGGACGAACCACGUGUCGGUCAAUACCCGGCGCGUCUGACGGUACCACCAGAGGAAGCUCCGGCUAACUCCGUGCCAGCAGCCGC
rnacentral:rRNA from 1 species